AUUUCAGCUAAAUCUAAUACUGUAGCAUCCAUCCUUUUGGCAGAAAAUGCAGAAAAAGCUUUUGAAGGGGUUGACUGGUCCUUUCUCUUAGCUAUUAGAACAUUUAGGUUUCGGUCUCCACUGACUUUCUUGGAUCCAAUCCAUGUAUUCCACCCCUGCCCAGAGGCACUCCGUGUUUCCUGGAACGGAGAUUCAGAAGUCGGAUGCCGUCUGGGGGACUUGCAGAUCAGUGCUGGAG